rnacentral:lncRNA from 1 species
CCAGGGAAGGAGAAGAAGGGCCCCUUGCUGGAGGGGGCCCCGCUGCGCCUGAAGCCCCGCAGCGUCCACGAGCUCUCCGUGGAGCAGCAGCUCUACUACAAGGAGAUCACGGAGGCCUGCGUGGGCUCCUGCGAGGCCAAGCGAGCCGUGAGCGCUCUGGGGACGUCCCCGGGUCCCCAGUGUCCUCCCCGGCGUGUCCCCGGGUCCCCAACGUCCUCCUCAGGAGUGUCCCUGUGUCCCCGGGUCCCCAACGCCCUCCCUGGAGCGUCCCUGGGUCCCCUGUGCCCUCCUCAAGGAUGUCCCGCUGUCCCCAUGUCCCCAACGCCCUCCCCGGGGACAUCCCGCUGUCCCCAGGUCCCCUGCGCCCUCCCUGGGGUGUCCCCAGGUCCCCUGUGCCCUCCCCAAGGAUGUCCCGCUGCCCCCAUAUCCCCAAUGCCCUCCCCGGUGACGUCCCACUGUCCCCAGGUCCCUGGCGCCCUCCGUGGGGAUGUCCUGCUGUCCCCAGGUCCCCUGCACCCUCCCUGGGGUGUCCCCGGGUCCCCUGUGCCCUCCUCAAGGACAUCCCGCUGUCCCCGGGACCCUCCCAGGGAACAUUCCGCUGUCCCCAGGUCCCCAACACCCUCCCUGGGGAUGUCUUGCUGCCCUCAGGUCCCUGGCGCCCUCCCCGGGGACAUCAUGCUGUCCCCAAUGCCCUCUCCGGGGACAUCCCGCUGCCCCCGUGUCCCCAGCACCCUCCCUGGGGACGUCUCGCUGCCCCCGUGUCCCCAGCGCCCUCCCCGGGGACAUCCCCCUGUCCCCAGGUCCCCAGCGCCCUCCCUGGGGACACCCCGCUGUCCCCAGGUUCUCCUCAGGGGGGUCCCACUGUCCCCAGCGCCCUCCCUAUGGGUGUCCCGCUGUCCCCGUGUCCCCGGCGCCGUCCCUGGGUCCUCGGCGCAUCCGCUGACCCCCGGCGCCGUCUCCGUGUCCUCCUAGGAAGCCCUGCAGAGCAUCGCCACCGACCCGGGUCUCUACCAGAUGCUGCCGCGCUUCAGCACCUUCAUCUCGGAGGGGGUGCGCGUCAACGUGGUGCAGAACAACCUGGCGCUGCUCAUCUACCUCAUGCGCAUGGUGAAGGCCCUGAUGGACAACCCCACGCUCUACCUGGAGAAAUACGUGAGUCGGGGCCCCCCCGUCCUUCCCCCCCCCCACACACACCAUAACCCCGACGCCCCGGGGGCCGCG